CCCCCCCCCCCGCUGCCAACAGGUCAGAGGGCACGCUGAGUCCGCGCCGCCGCACUCGCCUCCGAAACCGCCGGCGCCAUGUUUGACAAGGGCACCGCCCCGCGUUCCGUGGGAGAGCAGCCCAGAGGCGAGAUCCUACCCUAAGCGUGCGUGCCUGCCCAAGGCCACGACCUGCCGGAGAGACACGUGUGGCGCCGAGAUAGCGAGCUUAACGGUCCCUUAAACGAAGAGUGAAUUAACUGAUCCGUGCUGCGAUACUUUCCCAUUCAUCGCCUGGCUCCCCCCACAGCGCUUGGGGACAGUUUCCAGUGCUGUCUGUCUCAUGCCUUGGCCAGUGGAGCUUUGAAACUUUCUGGUAGUUGGAUAUGGAAUUUACGUUGGUGUCAUCAACCAGGACUGAAUCUGGAACUUUAACUACCAAGAAGUAAAUAAAGAUUUGAAAAUUACAUUUUAAUUAUCUUAUUUUAUAG
rnacentral:lncRNA from 1 species